CAGCGGACGACCCUUCAGGUAUUGACUUUGCCACUCGUAAAAUAGCCAAGUUGCUGAAGCCACAGAAAGUGAUUGAGCAGAAUGGGGAUUCUUUUACCAUCCACACGAACAGCAGCCUAAGGAACUACUUUGUGAAAUUUAAAGUUGGAGAAGAAUUUGAUGAAGAUAACAGAGGCCUGGACAACAGAAAAUGCAAGAGUUUGGUUAUCUGGGACAAUGACAGGCUCACCUGUAUCCAGAAGGGAGAAAAGAAGAACAGAGGCUGGACCCAUUGGAUCGAAGGAGACAAACUCCACCUGGAAAUGUUCUGUGAAGGUCAAGUGUGCAAACAGACAUUCCAGAGAGCCUGAUCCACAUCCAGCAGCAGAGCCCACUUGUGGCUGCAGCUUUAUGCCAAAUUAUAUUGCAGACUGAACAGACGUUUAUCUAUCCCAUUUGGCGACGAGGACUCGUGGCUGGAGAGAGCCACACAGCGUGUAACCUGAAGUCAUCUAGAUUAUGGGGAAACUGCUCAGCUUCAAUAAACC
rnacentral:lncRNA from 1 species